rnacentral:rRNA from 1 species
AGAGUUUGAUCCUGGCUCAGGACGAACGCUAGCGGCGUGCUUAAUACAUGCAAGUCGUGCGAGAAACGGGCCUUCGGGCCCGGAGUAAAGCGGCGAACGGGUGAGUAACGCGUGGGUAACCUACCUUCGAGAAGGGGAUAACAUUUCUAACGGGAUGCUAGUACCCUGUACGAUACUGGAAUUUAUGAUCUGGUAUGAAAGAUGGCCUCUGCUUGCAAGCUAUCGCUCGAAGAUGGGCCCGCGUCCCAUUAGCCUGUUGGUGGGGUAAUGGCCUACCAAAGCUAUGAUGGGUAGCCGGCCUGAGAGGGUGUCCGGUCACACUGGGACUGAGACACGGCCCAGACUCCUACGGGAGGCAGCAGUAGGGAAUAUUGCGCAAUGGGCGAAAGCCUGACGCAGCGACGCCGCGUGGGUGAUGAAGUCCUUCGGGACGUAAAGCCCUGUCAGGGGGGACGAAACACUAUGAUUCGAAUAGUUCAUAGUCUGACGGUACCCCCAGAGGAAGCUCCGGCCAACUCCGUGCCAGCAGCCGCGGUAAUACGGGGGGAGCUAGCGUUGUCCGGAAUUACUGGGCGUAAAGGGCGUGUAGGCGGGCCUACAAGUCAGGUGUGAAAACUAUCGGCUCAACUGGUAGCCUGCGUCUGAAACUGUAGGUCUUGAGUAUGGGAGAGGAAAGCGGAAUUCCUGGUGUAGCGGUGAAAUGCGUAGAUAUCAGGAAGAACACCUGUGGCGAAGGCGGCUUUCUGGCCUGAUACUGACGCUGAAACGCGAAAGCGUGGGGAGCGAACAGGAUUAGAUACCCUGGUAGUCCACGCCGUAAACGAUGGGCACUAGGUAUUGGGGGUUCAUUCUCUCAGUGCCGAAGCUAACGCAUUAAGUGCCCCGCCUGGGGAGUACGACCGCAAGGUUGAAACUCAAAGGAAUUGACGGGGGCCCGCACAAGCGGUGGAGCAUGUGGUUCAAUUCGACGCAACGCGAAGAACCUUACCGGGGUUUGACAUGCACGGGAAAGACAUAGAGAUAUGUCCCCUCUUCGGAGUCCGUGCACAGGUGCUGCAUGGCUGUCGUCAGCUCGUGUCGUGAGAUGUUGGGUUAAGUCCCGCAACGAGCGCAACCCUUGCCCUUAGUUGCCAUCAGGUAAUGCUGGGCACUCUAAGGGGACUGCCGGUGACAAGCCGGAGGAAGGUGGGGAUGACGUCAAGUCCUCAUGGCCCUUAAGUCCCGGGCUACACACGUGCUACAAUGGCCGAUACAGAGGGUUGCCAACCCGUGAGGGGGAGCCAAUCCCAAAAAGCCGGUCUCAGUUGGGAUCGGAGUCUGCAACUCGACUCCGUGAACGUGGAAUCGCUAGUAAUCGCGGAUCAGAACGCCGCGGUGAAUACGUUCCCGGGCCUUGUACACACCGCCCGUCAAGCGAUGGAAGCCGGGAGUACCCGAAGUCGGUGUCCUAACCUCCUUCGGGAGGAGGGAACUGCCGAAGGUAAAACCGGUAACUGGCGCUAAGUCGAAACAAGGUA